UGUCCUAGUAUUGCGUUUUUUCCUGGG
rnacentral:sRNA from 1 species